AAACUUUCAACANNGGAUCUCUUGGCUCUCGCAUCGAUGAAGAACGCAGCGAAAUGCGAUAAGUAAUGUGAAUUGCAGAAUUCAGUGAAUCAUCGAAUCUUUGAACGCACCUUGCGCCCCUUGGUAUUCCGAGGGGCAUGCCUGUUUGAGUGUCAUUA
rnacentral:rRNA from 1 species